UAUCUGUUAAAGCUACCAAUCAUCUAGUCAAGCGACAAAUUAAAAGCUGCCAGCAAAUAGCAUUUAAAGCUGACUAGAAAAUAUUCAAGUGUGAUACAACAUUUGUGAAAAGAGUGAACAAUUUGAAUCAAUUGCAUUUGACAAAGAGAGAAAUAGCAAAGAGAGAAGUGAGCAUAAAAAAAUAUUUCUAAAAAAGCUCCAGAGCAAUUCGUGACAUUUGAAAAAGUUAUACAAAGAGAAAUUGAAAUGGAGAUUGGUCGGUCGGAAGGCUGUUGUAAUUGGAGAAUCAUCGGAUAUGUACUAGGUGGUAUAUGGUUAACAAUAGGAGUAGCUGAUCUCCUUUGCGUGUCAAAAAUAAAUUCUUGGAAUCUUUUCACAAUUGCCUUUGACUUGACGACAGCGGUGCUUUGGCUGUAUGGAUUGGCUAAUAACAAAACCAUAUUGAUGCUGAUUUCACUGGUUUUUUCGGUCUUUCAAGCUGUUUUUGGGCUAUUCACGUUAAUUGGAUUAGGAAUAAUUGCUGCAGUUCAUAUCGACAAAAGCGCUGAUGACGAAGAAUUGUUUGGUAUAUACUGUAUUCUUGUGCUAUUGAUGAUUGUAGCAGUUCUCAUCGUGUUUGAUUUCAUCUUAGCUGUUAUAUGUUACAUAAAAAUAAAAAAGGACAUUCAACGAUUGACAAUUCCUGUCUUUAACGUGACGUAUGCAGCUCCAACUGCCAUGAAGUGUUGAAUAGGCUGGAUUCGCUUAGAAUGCACGAAAAAAAAAAUUAAAUAAUUUUAAAUUCAAACUGAAAUUAUUGUUAUCUUGUUCAUGUUUUUUUCUUUUCAUUGAAGUAAAAUCCUUAUCGACGCGAUAAUUCAGUGCUAAAAACUUGUUUUGGCAAUUUCGGAGCGAUGCAAUGACGCUAUCUCAAACUCGAAAUUAAAUUAUUUUUCGCUUUAUUUUUAAUCGUUCCUCUGCUGUAGACGAAUCGUCGUUGAUCAUUCUCCUUUGAUUUCAUUCCGAAUUCGAAGCAAAUGUUUUUUUUUUCAACUUUUUCCGUCUCAAGUCAUAGGUCAUAAAAACGAUCUGCUUUCAAACUUUUCGUUCAGCAUCUCAGAACGCAUGAGGAAUGUGUCGAGAUAAUUCCGAGAUUGUGCCAAUUGAUCAUGAUCAUCUUGCAAUCAUCAUUUUAUUUCACAUUACAUCGGCUUUGAGUGACAACCGACAAGUCAAUUCAAACACAUUUUUUCGGCAAUCAUAAAUAUGACUUAGCUUAUUCAAUCUAUAUUCAAUUUACAGAGUCUCGUCAAACAGAGUCAGAUAGUCUUCGAACAGCAUUCAAAAUGGAAUGUUAUUCGCACAGUGUUCAUUUAGUUAAAGGCAAAGUGAUAGGCUGGAUUUGUUUAAUACUGAAUUUACUUUUCCUAUGCAUUUUCGCAUUUUUUGGCAGAAAGGAUGAUAUUUAUGAAGAUUUAUUGCAGGAAUAUAUUGUUAUAAACAUAUUAGUGUCCCUUAUUUGGCUGAUUGGGAUCAAAUUACAACGUUUGGGAUUUUUGCUCACGGCAUUAGUUUUGUGGACCAUUCCACUGGCAUCUUUGACCGUUUUGAUAGCCUUAUCAUUCUUCAGAUCUCUAUUGGAUAUAAAAGCCGGAUUGAAUGACUAUAAUUCUAUUACUCCUAAUUGUCUUUCUGCUGCACCUGAUUGUCUGAAUACACUUAUGUGCUUUUGGCAUUUGAUCAUCUAUUCAUUAUGCGGCUGGAUCUAUUUAUUUUACGCUCUGCAGAGUUACCGGAACAUAAACAGAUUCAUCCAUUGUAAAUAUGACACUCCUGCGAUGAAUUUCCUACACACGGAAGCUCCAGGCAAAAUUACUCGAAUUGAUAUUUAAUUCAGAUGACUUGGAUUUGAUUUGAAGUUCUUAUAUGGUCUUAUGAAGAUUGAAAAAAAACAUUGAUUGAGAGUGAAAUCACGUUGAAGAAUGAAUUUUGUUUAAGUGCCUUGAAAUUUUUUGCAACUUGUGUGAUAUAUUUUCAAAUAAAUAGUCCAAGUGA